UACGAAGGGGGGCUAGCGUUGCUCGGAAUUACUGGGCGUAAAGCGCACGUAGGCGGCUCUUUAAGUCGGAGGUGAAAUCCUGGAGCUCAACUCCAGAACUGCCUUCGAUACUGAAGAGCUCGAGUCCGGGAGAGGUGAGUGGAAUUGCGAGUGUAGAGGUGAAAUUCGUAGAUAUUCGCAAGAACACCAGUGGCGAAGGCGGCUCACUGGCCCGGUACUGACGCUGAGGUGCGAAAGCGUGGGGAGCAAACAGG
rnacentral:rRNA from 1 species